UAUACCGAUUGGGAGCAGGUGGCGAAUUUCGCCCGAGAAAUCGCCCAUUUAACCGACAAACCGACGCUGAAAUAAGCAUAAAGAAUAAAAAAUGCGCGGUCAGAAAAUUAUUUUAAAUUUCCUCUUGUCAGGCCGGAAUAACUCCCUAUAAUGCGCCACCACUGACACGGAACAACGGCAAACACGCCGCCGGGUCAGCGGGGUUCUCCUGAGAAUCUCAACAGAGAAAAGCAAAAAAUGCUUGACUCUGUAGCGGGAAAGCGUAUUAUGCACACCCCGCGCCGCUGAGAAAAAGCGAAGCGGCACUGCUCUUUAACAAUUUAUCAGACAAUCUGUGUGGGCACUCGAAGAUACGGAUUCUUAACGUCGCAAGACGAAAAAUGAAUACCAAGUCUCAAGAGUGAACACGUAAUUCAUUACGAAGUUUAAUUCUUUGAGCAUCAAACUUUUAAAUUGAAGAGUUUGAUCAUGGCUCAGAUUGAACGCUGGCGGCAGGCCUAACACAUGCAAGUCGAACGGUAACAGGAAGAAGCUUGCUUCUUUGCUGACGAGUGGCGGACGGGUGAGUAAUGUCUGGGAAACUGCCUGAUGGAGGGGGAUAACUACUGGAAACGGUAGCUAAUACCGCAUAACGUCGCAAGACCAAAGAGGGGGACCUUCGGGCCUCUUGCCAUCGGAUGUGCCCAGAUGGGAUUAGCUUGUUGGUGGGGUAACGGCUCACCAAGGCGACGAUCCCUAGCUGGUCUGAGAGGAUGACCAGCCACACUGGAACUGAGACACGGUCCAGACUCCUACGGGAGGCAGCAGUGGGGAAUAUUGCACAAUGGGCGCAAGCCUGAUGCAGCCAUGCCGCGUGUAUGAAGAAGGCCUUCGGGUUGUAAAGUACUUUCAGCGGGGAGGAAGGGAGUAAAGUUAAUACCUUUGCUCAUUGACGUUACCCGCAGAAGAAGCACCGGCUAACUCCGUGCCAGCAGCCGCGGUAAUACGGAGGGUGCAAGCGUUAAUCGGAAUUACUGGGCGUAAAGCGCACGCAGGCGGUUUGUUAAGUCAGAUGUGAAAUCCCCGGGCUCAACCUGGGAACUGCAUCUGAUACUGGCAAGCUUGAGUCUCGUAGAGGGGGGUAGAAUUCCAGGUGUAGCGGUGAAAUGCGUAGAGAUCUGGAGGAAUACCGGUGGCGAAGGCGGCCCCCUGGACGAAGACUGACGCUCAGGUGCGAAAGCGUGGGGAGCAAACAGGAUUAGAUACCCUGGUAGUCCACGCCGUAAACGAUGUCGACUUGGAGGUUGUGCCCUUGAGGCGUGGCUUCCGGAGCUAACGCGUUAAGUCGACCGCCUGGGGAGUACGGCCGCAAGGUUAAAACUCAAAUGAAUUGACGGGGGCCCGCACAAGCGGUGGAGCAUGUGGUUUAAUUCGAUGCAACGCGAAGAACCUUACCUGGUCUUGACAUCCACGGAAGUUUUCAGAGAUGAGAAUGUGCCUUCGGGAACCGUGAGACAGGUGCUGCAUGGCUGUCGUCAGCUCGUGUUGUGAAAUGUUGGGUUAAGUCCCGCAACGAGCGCAACCCUUAUCCUUUGUUGCCAGCGGUCCGGCCGGGAACUCAAAGGAGACUGCCAGUGAUAAACUGGAGGAAGGUGGGGAUGACGUCAAGUCAUCAUGGCCCUUACGACCAGGGCUACACACGUGCUACAAUGGCGCAUACAAAGAGAAGCGACCUCGCGAGAGCAAGCGGACCUCAUAAAGUGCGUCGUAGUCCGGAUUGGAGUCUGCAACUCGACUCCAUGAAGUCGGAAUCGCUAGUAAUCGUGGAUCAGAAUGCCACGGUGAAUACGUUCCCGGGCCUUGUACACACCGCCCGUCACACCAUGGGAGUGGGUUGCAAAAGAAGUAGGUAGCUUAACCUUCGGGAGGGCGCUUACCACUUUGUGAUUCAUGACUGGGGUGAAGUCGUAACAAGGUAACCGUAGGGGAACCUGCGGUUGGAUCACCUCCUUACCUUAAAGAAGCGUUCUUUGAAGUGCUCACACAGAUUGUCUGAUGAAAAUGAGCAGUAAAACCUCUACAGGCUUGUAGCUCAGGUGGUUAGAGCGCACCCCUGAUAAGGGUGAGGUCGGUGGUUCAAGUCCACUCAGGCCUACCAAAUUUGCACGGCAAAUUUGAAGAGGUUUUAACUACAUGUUAUGGGGCUAUAGCUCAGCUGGGAGAGCGCCUGCUUUGCACGCAGGAGGUCUGCGGUUCGAUCCCGCAUAGCUCCACCAUCUCUGUAGUGGUUAAAUAAAAAAAUACUUCAGAGAGUACCUGCAAAGGUUCACUGCGAAGUUUUGCUCUUUAAAAAUCUGGAUCAAGCUGAAAAUUGAAACACUGAACAACGAGAGUUGUUCGUGAGUCUCUCAAAUUUUCGCAACACGAUGAUGAAUCGAAAGAAACA
rnacentral:rRNA from 1 species